CCCUCCUAGCCGGCUCAGGACUCCCCCGUAGUCUUCGCGACCCCUCCCCCAUUUCAGACUCCCCAGACUCCGCCUCCAUGUCCGGGGACUCCGGGGUUCUCCCAGAGACACGGGCGCCCCCUCUCCACCGUAGGGAUGGAGCCUCAGAGGUGCAGAAAAGAAACCUUGUCUGCAUCAGUUUACACACCAGGAAGCCGAGGCUCAGGCAGAAGAAGAAACUUGCUCCAGGUCACAAGCCAGGCAGAUGCGGAGCUGAUGCUUCACAGGAGCCCCAGGGCUUCCACCUGACACUGGACUGCAUGGAGGAAGGUCUGAGAGGGAUCACCAAGACUCACUGGAGGAGGAGGCAGGGAUUUCUCCUGGGGCAGUACUGGGAUUGGAGCUGCAUGGUGGCUCAGCCAGACCAUCAGGCCUCAGGGAGCCUGAGGUGGGCCAGAUACCAGGAUUGCCCAAGUAAGGGAGAGGAAGGGAGAGUUAGGACACCAGUAGCAGAUGCCUAAGUUCCAACCUUGGCUUCUGGCUCUAAAU